rnacentral:sRNA from 1 species
UCCUUAAGAGUUGGGAGAGUGGACAUAUGGGAAAUACUCUCGUGGAGAAUUAUUCAUGCCUGCUGUUCAGCUUACCCCAUGCCGCAUCAAAGACUUGGCGUUAUUGAGAAUUCAGAGUGAAAGGAGUUGGAUGCUUUUCUGGGCUUCUGUUUAACCGCUGAAGAGAUCUUUUCCCUUCAUGGCUUUUCAAAUGCUACCCAAAUAACCAGCUCCAAAUUCUCUGUCAUCUGUCCAGCAGUCUUACAGCAAUUGAACUUUCACCCAUGUGAGGAUCGGCCCAAGCACAAAACAAGACCAAGUCAUUCAGAAGUUUGGGGAUAUGGAUUCCUGUCAGUGACGAUUAUUAAUCUGGCAUCUCUCCUCGGAUUGAUUUUGACUCCACUGAUAAAGAAAUCUUAUUUCCCAAAGAUUUUGACCUUUUUUGUGGGGCUGGCUAUUGGGACUCUUUUUUCAAAUGCAAUUUUCCAACUUAUUCCAGAGGCAUUUGGAUUUGAUCCCAAAGUCGACAGUUAUGUUGAGAAGGCAGUUGCUGUGUUUGGUGGAUUUUACCUACUUUUCUUUUUUGAAAGAAUGCUAAAGAUGUUAUUAAAGACAUAUGGUCAGAAUGGUCAUACCCACUUUGGAAAUGAUAACUUUGGUCCUCAAGAAAAAACUCAUCAACCUAAAGCAUUACCUGCC